rnacentral:rRNA from 1 species
UACGUAGGGUGCGAGCGUUGUCCGGAAUUAUUGGGCGUAAAGAGCUCGUAGGCGGUCUGUCGCGUCGAUCGUGAAAACUUGGGGCUUAACCCUGAGCUUGCGGUCGAUACGGGCAUGACUGGAGUUCGGCAGGGGAGACUGGAAUUCCUGGUGUAGCGGUGAAAUGCGCAGAUAUCAGGAGGAACACCGGUGGCGAAGGCGGGUCUCUGGGCCGGAACUGACGCUGAGGCGCGAAAGCGUGGGUAGCAAACGGG